AUGUUCAUCUUCUUCUCCAACUCGUCUCCUCCCUCCUCACCGUCCAACCGUGGUUCAUCUUCUUCUCCAACUCGCUUCCUGAUUCGUUGUCUCGUUGCAAACUUCAAAUUCUUCGGUUAUACGAGGGCAAGGGCCAGAGGCACGUUGUUGGGAAACUUCGGAUUCGUUGUCCAGAAAGCUGUUGUUGGGAAACGACUUACAACAUCAGGCACACCACCAUCUCCUCGUGAAGAAGUUUCACAAAAUCAGUUUUAUCUAAGAUAA